UAAGAUAGGCAGCAAUCCAAAUGCAUUUGUUUAUUAAAAGGAGAAUGUGCGAUACUUAGAGAACUUCUGUAAAGGUCAAUAAAAAAAAUCAAUUGCCUAUGGGGAUCCUACUGUUUAACCUCGUAAUUCUCGUGGAAUUUGGAUAUAUGUACCACGACCCAGAAUGGAUGACAGCACCACAAAUGGAUUUAUACAGUGAUUUGAUCGAGUACACUCUGUAUGAGAAGAAAGUUUCUUGGAAUGAUGCUGCUACGAUCUGUGCUAAAGACGAGGCGCAUCUCUUGUCAAUAAAUUCGCAAGAAAAAGCUGAUUUAAUACAAGAAUUUAAACAAGGGUUAUGGGCAUCACUAACAGAUUUUGAUUACUGGUCAGGACUGUCAGAACCAAUGCAAUCUCACUAUAUCUGGGAGGACUGUACGAUAUUGUCAUCUACUUUCGGCAAUAGAAAAGAGGAAAGUUAUAGUGCAAAUGAGUUGUGUUAUCUUGUUAAGAAAGACACACUUAAAUGGGAGAGAAAAAAAUGUGGAGAAGAACAUUAUUUUGCAUGUGAA